rnacentral:rRNA from 1 species
UACGUAGGGUGCAAGCGUUAUCCGGAAUUAUUGGGCGUAAAGAGCUCGUAGGCGGUUUGUCGCGUCUGCUGUGAAAACUGGAGGCUCAACCUCCAGCCUGCAGUGGGUACGGGCAAACUAGAGUGCGGUAGGGGAGAUUGGAAUUCCUGGUGUAGCGGUGGAAUGCGCAGAUAUCAGGAAGAACACCCGUGGCUAAGGCGGCUCUCUAGUACGGUACUGACGCUGAGACGCGAAAGCGUGGGGAGCAAACAGG